UCUUAUGGAUGAGCAAAGCGAGUGGUUUCUUGAGAUGAAGUCUACUCCUAUGAAGAUGCUGUGAA
rnacentral:pre_miRNA from 1 species